GCUGGGGCUGAAUGCUGUGGCUGCGACCCUGUUGAAAGACUGGGUGUUGUCCAAUCAGCUCGCUGGUGUGUACAAAGGGCCGCACAGAGGAGGGCUGCCAGGGGAAACAGAGGAGCGGGGAGGCAGGCGGAGAAGACUUGCAUAGAGCUGCUUCAGCAAGACCAAAAGAUGAUAGAAGAGAGGAAAAGCGCAAGAAAGCUCUCCUGACCAAAACCAUCGCUGAGAAGAAGCGCUAUGAGAAGGCGGAGGCUGAGCAUGUGACGGCCAAGCUGGACCUA
rnacentral:lncRNA from 1 species